rnacentral:tRNA from 1 species
GGCCUGUUAGCUCAGCUGGUUAGAGCGUGGUGCUAAUAACACCAAGGUUGUGGGUUCAAUCCCCACAUGGGCCA